rnacentral:rRNA from 1 species
AGGGAAUCUUCCACAAUGGACGCAAGUCUGAUGGAGCAACGCCGCGUGAGUGAAGAAGGCUUUCGGGUCGUAAACUCUGUUAUUGAAGAAGAACGUGUGUGACAGUAACUGGUCAUGCAGUGACGGUAUUCAAUCAGAAAGUCACGGCUAACUACGUGCCAGCAGCCGCGGUAAUACGUAGGUGGCAAGCGUUGUCCGGAUUUAUUGGGCGUAAAGCGAGUGCAGGCGGUCUUUUAAGUCUGAUGUGAAAGCCUUCGGCUUAACCGAAGAAGGGCAUCGGAAACUGGGAGACUUGAGUGCAGAA